rnacentral:misc_RNA from 1 species
ACACCUCAACUCUCAUGGUUCGCCGUGAUGAGCUUGGACUCUGGGGGUUUUGCUGGCCUGUGGUCGGCUCCUCUCAAAUGAAUCAGCCUCCCAGUGUUUGGCGGCAUCACGGGUGUGAUAAAUAUCUACGCUCGCUGUUGUCUGCCAGGUAACCUUUGGUCACAAAGGUUCGCUGGAGCUCACAGACGUCUCUCCUCAGCGAGGACAGCCCUUUGAAU